UGCCGGAUAGCUCACUCGGUAAAGCAUCGCGUUGUGAUCGCGGUGCGGGUUCGAUCCCCGCCUCGUAC